AGACGUAGGGGGCUAGCGUUGCCCGGAUUCACUGGGCGUAAAGCGCGCGUAGGCGGUUCGGCAAGUCGCCCGUGAAAGCCCCUGGCUCAACUGGGGGAGGUCGGGCGAUACUGCCGGGCUAGAGGGCGGCAGAGGGAGGUGGAACGGCCGGAGUAGCGGUGAAAUGCGUAGAUACCGGCCGGAAUCCCGAUGGCGAAGGCAACCUCCUGGGCCGUUCCUGACGCUGAGGCGCGAAAGCUGGGGGAGCGAACCGGAUUAGAUACCCCAGUAGUCC
rnacentral:rRNA from 1 species